ACUCUGCAUCUGGGGGGAGGAGACAAGCAGGGACAAAGAGGAUCUAUUGGGAGGAAAUCUCUCUGAAGAGGCUCUUGUUUCAAGUACUCUCAUUGUUUUUUUCACUGACCCAGUGAGGCGGGCAAGCAAAGCCCCUAGGGGUUUUCGCUUCUGGCACGAAGCGCUGGUCUCUGCAUGCAUAUGGGCGGGCGUGACCUGCUCUGGAGACAGUGCCAGGUGGGGAGUUUGAUUAGAGGGGUACACCUGUCAAAUGGUAACGCAGGUGUCCUAAGACGAGCUCAAGGAAGACAGAACCCUCCCGUGGCAAAAGACCAAAAGCUUGAUCUUGAUUUCAGCACAAAUACAGACCGAGAAAAAAAAAAGAGUCCUUUUAGACCAGGAUGAGUCCAGACAAAGCUUUCA
rnacentral:ncRNA from 1 species